AUUGAACGCUGGCGGCAGGCCUAACACAUGCAAGUCGAGCGGUAGAGAGGUGCUUGCACCUCUUGAGAGCGGCGGACGGGUGAGUAAUGCCUAGGAAUCUGCCUGGUAGUGGGGGAUAACGCUCGGAAACGGGCGCUAAUACCGCAUACGUCCUACGGGAGAAAGCAGGGGACCUUCGGGCCUUGCGCUAUCAGGUGAGCCUAGGUCGGAUUAGCUAGUUGGUGAGGUAAUGGCUCACCAAGGCGACGAUCCGUAACUGGUCUGAGAGGAUGAUCAGUCACACUGGAACUGAGACACGGUCCAGACUCCUACGGGAGGCAGCAGUGGGGAAUAUUGGACAAUGGGCGAAAGCCUGAUUCAGCCAUGCCGCGUGUGUGAAGAAGGUCUUCGGAUUGUAAAGCACUUUAAGUUGGGAGGAAGGGUCGUUACCUAAUACGUGACGAUUUUGACGUUACCGACAGAAUAAGCACCGGCUAACUCUGUGCCAGCCGCCGCCGUAA
rnacentral:rRNA from 1 species